rnacentral:rRNA from 1 species
GGAGAGCUUGCUCUUGCUGACSACCGGCGCACGGGUGAGUAACGCGUAUGCAAUCUACCGAUWAGCUGGGGAAUAGCCCGMAGAAAUUCGGAUUAAUGCCCCAUAACAUUUUAGAGAGGCAGCUCUCUGAUCUGAAAAUUUUAAUGGCUAUCGAUGAGCAUGCGUACUAUUAGUUUGUUGGUGAGGUAACGGCUCACCAAGACUAUGAUAGUUAGGGGGUCUAAAAGGAUGGUCCCCCACACUGGUACUGAGACACGGACCAGACUCCUACGGGAGGCAGCAGUGAGGAAUAUUGGUCAAUGGGCGAAAGCCUGAACCAGCCAUGCCGCGUGCAGGAUGACAGCCCUACGGGUUGUAAACUGCUUUUGUACGGGAAGAAACCUGUCUACGUGUAGACAGCUGACGGUACCGUAAGAAUAAGCAUCGGCUAACUCCGUGCCAGCAGCCGCGGUAAUACGGAGGAUGCAAGCGUUAUCCGGAUUUAUUAGGUUUAGAGGGUGCGCAGGCGGGAGAAUAAGUCAGUGGUGAAAUCCUACAGCUUAACUGUAGAACUGCCAUUGAUACUAUUUUUCUUGAGUUCAGUUGAGGCAGGCGGAAUGUGCAGUGUAGCGGUGAAAUGCUUAGAUAUUGCACAGAACUCCGAUUGCGUAGGCAGCUUGCUAAACUGAAACUGACGCUCAUGCACGANAGCGUGGGGAGCGAACAGGAUUAGAUACCCUGGUAGUCCACGCCGUAAACGAUGAUCACUCGUUGUGUGCGAUAUACGGCACGCGACUGAGCGAAAGCAUUAAGUGAUCCACCUGGGGAGUACGG